rnacentral:rRNA from 1 species
UACAGAGGUCCCAAGCGUUGUUCGGAUUCACUGGGCGUAAAGCGUGUGUAGGCGGAUCGUUAAGUACCUUGUGAAAUCCCACGGCUUAACCGUGGAACUGCUUGGUAUACUGGCGGUCUUGAGCCAGCUAGGGGCGACCGGAACAAAUGGUGGAGCGGUGAAAUGCGUAGAUAUCAUUUGGAACGCCAAUGGUGAAAACAGGUCGCUGGGGCUGUGCUGACGCUGAGACACGAAAGCCAGGGGAGCAAACGGG